rnacentral:misc_RNA from 1 species
GUAGGUGAACCUGCGGAAGGAUCAUUAUUGAAUUAUAAGGCUCGGAUUGUGCUGGCCUCUCGGGGCAUGUGCACGUCUCUGCCCGUUAAUCAAAAAUUAAUACAACUUUCAACAACGGAUCUCUUGGCUCUG